rnacentral:rRNA from 1 species
UAACUUAGGGAGAAGGGGUGCCUACGAGAGUAGGCCGCAGUGAAUAGGCUCAAGCAACUGUUUAUCAAAAACACAGGUCUCUGCUAAAGCGUAAGCUGAUGUAUAGGGGCUGACGCCUGCCCGGUGCUGGAAGGUUAAGGGGAAUAGUUAGCGCAAGCGAAGCUAUGAACUUAAGCCCCAGUAAACGGCGGCCGUAACUAUAACGGUCCUAAGGUAGCGAAAUUCCUUGUCGGGUAAGUUCCGACCCGCACGAAUGGCGUAAUGAUUUGAGCACUGUCUCGGCAAUAAAUCCGGUGAAAUUGUAGUGCAAGUGAAGAUGCUUGCUACCCGCGGUUGGACGGAAAGACCCCGUAGAGCUUUACUGUAGCUUAGCAUUGAAUUUCGGUAUUGUCUGUACAGGAUAGGUGGGAGACUUAGAAGCGAGGGCGUCAGCUUUCGUGGAGUCGUCCUUGGGAUACCACCCUGACAGUACUGGAAUUCUAACUGGAGGCCAUGAAUCUGGGCACAGGACAUUGCUAGGUGGGCAGUUUGACUGGGGCGGGCGCCUCCUAAAAGGUAACGGAGGCGCCCAAAGGUUCCCUCAGCGCGG